rnacentral:lncRNA from 1 species
UUUUUUUCUUCACUUCUCUUUAUAUAGAGAGAGGGUGAAUGGAGGAGUGGAGGGAAUGGUGGAGUGAUGGAGAAGUGAGAGAAAAUGGUAGAGAAGUGGAGUGGUGUAGGGAAUGGUGGAGAAGUGUGGAGAAAUAGAGAAAAUGGUGGAGAAGUGGAGUGGUGGAGGGAAUGGUGGAGAAGUGUGGAGAAGUAAAGAAAAUAGUGGAGAAGUGGAGUGAGUGAUGGAGAAGUGGUGGGAAUGGUGAGAAAGUGGAGGGAAUGAUGGAGAGAGUGGUAGAAAUGGAGGGAAUGGUGGGAGAUAGUGGAGGAGUGAAUUUAGGGAAGUGAUCUUUUCUUUUUUUUUUCUUUUUUUUUUGUGUUAA